rnacentral:rRNA from 1 species
CAGUCCGUCCAAGAAAAUCUCCGCGGGAGCAGAGCGGUGACCGUACCAAAUCUGACACAGGAGGGCGAGGCGAAUAGCCUCAGGCGCGCGAGAGAACCCUACGUGAAGGAACUCGGCAAAUUAACCCCGUAAGUUCGCGAUAAGGGGUGCCCCCCGUAAGGGGGGCCACAGGAAAACGACAGCUGCGACUGUUUACUAAAAACACAGGUCUCUGCGAAGUCGUCAAAGACGACGUAUAGGGACUGACGCUUGCCCGCUGUUGGAACGUUAAGGUGACUGGUUAGCCGCAAGGCGAGGCUGGGAACCGAAGCGCCAAUGAAGGGCGGCCGUAACAAUGACGGUCCUAAGGUAGCGAAAUUCCUUGUCGGGUAAGUUCCGACCCGCACGAAUAGCGUAACGACAGCUGUACUGUCUCCACGAGGGACUCGGCGAAAUUGUAGUUGUGGUGAAGAUGCCACAUACCCGCACCAAGACGGAAAGACCCCGUGAACCUUUACUGUAACCUAAUACUGGCUCUAGGUUCGCCAUGUGUAGCAUAGGUGGGAGACGUUAAUGUCGGGGGCGCCAGCCUCCGAAUAGUCUUCAGUGAAAUACCACUCUUGGCGAUCUUGGAGUCUAACCUGCGACCGUUAUCCGGCGUGGGAACAGUGUUAGGCGGGCAGUUUGACUGGGGCGGUCUCCUCCUAAAAGGUAACGGAGGAGUGCAAAGGUACCCUCAAUGCGGUUGGCAAUCGCAUGAAGAGCGUAAAGGUAUAAGGGUGCUUGACUGCGAGACACAUAGGUCGAGCAGGUACGAAAGUAGGUCUUAGUGAUCCGGUGGUCCCGUGUGGAAGGGCCAUCGCUCAUCAGAUAAAAGGUACUCCGGGGAUAACAGGCUGAUCACGCCCAAGAGUCCAUAUCGACGGCGUGGUUUGGCACCUCGAUGUCGGCUCAUCGCAUCCUGGGGCUGAAGGCGGUCCCAAGGGUUGGUCUGUUCGCCCAUUAAAGCGGUACGUGAGCUGGGUUUAGACCGUCGUGAGACAGGUCGGUCCCUAUCUGGUGUGGGCGCAGGAUGAUUGCGGAGACUCUUUCCUAGUACGAGAGGAUUGGAAAGAACGGACCUCUGGUGUGCCAGUUGUCGCGCUAGCGGCAUCGCUGGAUAGCUAUGUCCGGGCUGGAUAAGCGCUGAAAGCAUCUAAGUGCGAAGCCAACUCCAAGACUGGUCAUCCCAUGAGACACCUGGUAGACCACCAGGUUGAUAGGCCGGAAGUGUAAGGACAGCAAUGUUCUCAGCUAACCGGUACUAACCAGUCGAUCGGCUUGAUCU